rnacentral:lncRNA from 1 species
GGGGCGCCGGGGGCGGUGUCCAGGCUCGGCUUUGAGCCCGGCGGCCGCGCCGAGCUGAGGUCAGCAGGACCACAACAACAGGCAAAAUGACAGCUGUGAGAUUUGAGCAAGGGACCCCGCCAAGAGAGUCAUCUGGUAGAGGAUAAGAAGGUAACAUUUGGUGCACUUCAUGUUUC